UUGUGUGUGAUUAUGUUGAUAGAGAUAAAUCAAUGGUUUAAAAACAAUUUAAAUUGCAGUCAUUUCUUUCUAUAAGGGUUCUUCAAAACCAGUGUGUUGGCAGCUUGAAUAUACUCUGCAUUAGUUGAACACCUGGCAGAAAGGUAGAAACAAACUCUAAAUUAGAGUUUUGGCACACCCCUACAUUUCGGCUACCCGUCUCCUACUCCCAACACUGAGACAGGGCUAGCUGCAGCCUGGAGCAAUGGGUGUGCCGAAAGGUAGGGGCGUGACAAAUGGUAGGGGCGUGGCAAAAGGUUUCUCAUUGGUGAAAGGAGUUUUACUGUGCUGGCCAAUCAGCAGUAAAUAUACAUUUACGUAAUUUCCUUAGACAAGGUGGCGGCGAUAAGACGUGAGGAAACUUUUGUUGGGGAGGAUUCAAUGUCUGUUGAGGCCCAGGUGAAUGUGCUACAAAGUAUGGUUGACUGGAAGUCUGUCAGUCCAGAUGUGAGGAAGACAUACAGAGUGGAGCUGGAGCUCAGCAGAUGUGGAAUGGCUGUAGAUACUGUGGUCUUGAUCUUGAUCUUUUUACUUGAAUUGGUGACUGAAACUAAAAGCUAAAUAAAUG